UACGUAGGGGGCAAGCGUUGUCCGGAAUUAUUGGGCGUAAAGAGCGUGUAGGCGGUCCGGUAAGUCGGCUGUGAAAGUCCAGGGCUCAACCCUGGGAUGCCGGUCGAUACUGCCGGACUACAGUUCGGAAGAGGCGAGUGGAAUUCCCGGUGUAGCGGUGAAAUGCGCAGAUAUCAGGAGGAACGCCGAUGGCGAAGGCAGCUCGCUGGGACGGUACUGACGCUGAGGCGCGAAAGCGUGGGGAGCGAACAGG
rnacentral:rRNA from 1 species